GACGAACGCUGGCGGCGUGCCUAAUACAUGCAAGUCGAGCGAAGUUUUUCUGGUGCUUGCACUAGAAAAACUUAGCGGCGAACGGGUGAGUAACACGUAAAGAACCUGCCUCAUAGACUGGGACAACUAUUGGAAACGAUAGCUAAUACCGGAUAACAGUAUUUCUCGCAUGAGAGAUAUUUAAAAGUUGGUUAUGCUAACACUAUGAGAUGGCUUUGCGGUGCAUUAGCUAGUUGGUGGGGUAAAGGCCCACCAAGGCGACGAUGCAUAGCCGACCUGAGAGGGUGAUCGGCCACACUGGGACUGAGACACGGCCCAGACUCCUACGGGAGGCAGCAGUAGGGAAUCUUCCGCAAUGGGCGAAAGCCUGACGGAGCAACGCCGCGUGAGUGAAGAAGGAUUUCGGUUCGUAAAGCUCUGUUGUUAGGGAAGAAUGGAUAUGUAGUAACUAUACAUGUAAGAGACGGUACCUAACCAGAAAGCCACGGCUAACUUCGUG
rnacentral:rRNA from 1 species